CGGACGUGGCCGGCGGCGACGUGGUCGGCGGCGUUGCCGAUGCCGCCGGUCACCCAGCCGGUCAGGGCGGUGCCCGGUUCGCCGACCUCGGCC
rnacentral:tRNA from 1 species